rnacentral:ncRNA from 1 species
CAAAGGUUUGGUCCUGGCCUUACUAUCAGUUUUUUCCCAAAUUACACAUGCAAGUCUCCGCAGUCCCGUGAGGAUGCCCCCAACUUCCCGCCCGGAAAUAGGGAGCAGGCAUCAGGCACAAACCCUUAGCCCAAGACGCCUUGCUCAGCCACACCCCCAAGGGAACUCAGCAGUGACAAACAUUAAGCCAUAAGUGAAAACUUGACUUAGUUAGGGAUAAAAGGGCCGGUAAAACUCGUGCCAGCCACCGCGGUUAUACGAGAGGCCCUAAUUGAUAAAUACGGCGUAAAGAGUGGUUAUGGGAACCCCACACUAAAGUCGAAACCCCCUCUAACUGUUAUACGCAUUCAGGGAUCCUAAUUUCUUUUACGAAAGUGACUUUAUCAUUAUCCACCAGAACCCACGACAGCUAGGGCACAAACUGGGAUUAGAUACCCCACUAUGCCUAGCCAUAAACUUAGAUAUCUUAAUACAACAGAUAUCCGCCAGGGAACUACAAGCAUUAGCUUAAAACCCAAAGGACUUGGCGGUGUCUCAGACCCCCCUAGAGGAGCCUGUUCUAGAACCGAUAACCCCCGUUCAACCUCACCACUCCUUGCCCUUUCCGCCUAUAUACCACCGUCGCCAGCUUACCCUGUGAAGGAAUAGUAAGCAAAAUGGAGAAACUCCAGAACGUCAGGUCGAGGUGUAGCACACGAAGUGGGAAGAAAUGGGCUACAUUGCCUGCACCAGGCUAUUCACGGAAAGUCACCUGAAACGGUUACUCGAAGGUGGAUUUAGCAGUAAGGGGAGAAUAGAGUGCUCCCUUGAAGCCGGCUCUGAGACGCGCACACACCGCCCGUCACUCUCCCCAACUACCGCAUUCUUUAGUAAAUAACACCGUACCGCAAAGUACAGGGGAGGCAAGUCGUAACAUGGUAAGUGUACCGGAAGGUGCACUUGGGAUUAC